AACGAACGCUGGCGGCAUGCCUAACACAUGCAAGUCGAACGAGACCUUCGGGUCUAGUGGCGCACGGGUGCGUAACGCGUGGGAAUCUGCCCCUCGGUUCGGAAUAACACAGAGAAAUUUGUGCUAAUACCGGAUAAUGACUUCGGUCCAAAGAUUUAUCGCCGAGGGAUGAGCCCGCGUAAGAUUAGCUUGUUGGUGGGGUAAUGGCCUACCAAGGCGACGAUCUUUAGCUGGUCUGAGAGGAUGAUCAGCCACACUGGGACUGAGACACGGCCCAGACUCCUACGGGAGGGCAGCAGUGGGGAAGUAUUGGACAAUGGGCGGAAAGCCUGAUCCAGCAAUGCCGCGUGAGUGAUGAAGG
rnacentral:rRNA from 1 species